rnacentral:rRNA from 1 species
UACGGGGGGAGCAAGCGUUGUUCGGAUUUACUGGGCGUAAAGGGCGCGUAGGCGGCCAGCACACGUCAGUUGUGAAAUCUCCGAGCUUAACUCGGAAAGGUCAACUGAUACUGUGCGGCUAGAGUGCGGAAGGGGCAACUGGAAUUCUCGGUGUAGCGGUGAAAUGCGUAGAUAUCGAAAGGAACACCUGCGGCGAAGGCGGGUUGCUGGGCUGAUACUGACGCUGAGGCGCGAAAGCCAGGGGAGCGAACGGG